CCCACAUGAUGGGCGCGAUUCACAUCCUAGGACCGAGUGGCUGAUCGACUGUAACAAAAUCCCUGAAAUGGGCAACCUGACCUUCCUGAUCGGUUGGCGUGGUUCGAUCUGAAAGCCGACGAGUACGUCCUGCGCAUCGAGGUCCCCGGGUCGCCCACCGUGUGCCUCUCGACCCUCGCCGGCCUCGACUACCCACACUACCCGCUGUGGAUUCUCGGCGACCCGUUCAUAGGCCGCUGGUACUCGGUGUUCGACAUGGGGAACCUCAGGGUCGGGUUCGCUCGGUCGACGAACUGAAGGGGAAUAGGAGGAGAGAGGAGGAAGAGAAGAGAAUGGGGGGAAUGAAGAGAUAAAGAAGAGAAAGGGGGAUUGAAGAGAUGGAAUGAGAAUGUGGAGGAGGAUGAUUGGGAAUUUUAAAGAAAGAAAUUAUAAGUUUUUUUUUCAUUUUUGGUUGGUUAUAUCCGGUUUAAAAAAAUAUUGCUCCCUGGGCGAAUGAGAGAGAUGGGAAAAGGGGGAUCAGAUUACCCAUUAUUUGUCUGUUUUACAAAUGCAUUUCAAUCAGUU